CCUAAUUUACUUUUCAUAUCUUAUGUUUUUUGUGUAAAAUGAGGCAAUGAGAAACGAAGCAUACUUACCUUGCUACUGCAGUUUACCUUGUUCCUGUGCUUCAGAAAUUGAAUCAAAGACAAGGUGAUGAAAAAGGAAAGAGUUGCAUUUGGAUGAGAGAUCAGUCACAGAGACUGAAAGUGACAGCCCUAUUGCAUUUGUUUGUGGACUUUGGAGACAGGCAGAAAGGAUAAGCAAUUGACAAGGAGUGAUAACUGUGGCCAGCAUUUGUGCUGUGCUUUCCCUAGCGAUGUGCUGUGUGGGCAACUUCAGCCACCGGGGUCCAGACAGGUCCCUGAAUUGAGCAGCAGAAAGAUUGUUGAAGCAAAUCAGGAGCUGUUGAAGAAGAGACCGACCAUGAUGUAG
rnacentral:lncRNA from 1 species